CCCUUAGAUGUUCUGGGCCGCACGCGUGCUACACUGAGUGGAUCAGCGGGUCAGGUUGCGCGAAAGCGUUUCCUAAUCUUUAAAUCCGCUCGUGAUGGGGAUUGACGGUUGCAAUUUUCUGUCAUGAACGAGGAAUACCUUGUAAGCGCGGGUCAUCAUCCCGCGCUGAAUACGUCCCUGCCCUUUGUACACACCGCCCGUCGCUCCUACCGAUUGAGUGGUCCGGUGAGGCUUUGGGAUCUGAGUGGAAAGAGCGUUUCGCUGUUUCUGCUCGGAAAACUCAGUCGAACCUUAUCAUUUAGAGGAAGGAGAAGUCGUAACA
rnacentral:rRNA from 1 species